rnacentral:rRNA from 1 species
AUUGAACGCUGGCGGCAGGCCUAACACAUGCAAGUCGAGCGAGAGGCGGACGGGUGAGUAAUGUCUGGGGAUCUGCCCGAUAGAGGGGGAAAACUAAUGGAAACGGUGGCUAAUACCGAAUACUAUCGGAUGAACCCAUAUGGGAUUAGCUAGUAGGUGGGGUAAAGUCUCACCUAGGAGACGAUCCCUAGAUGGUCUGAGAGGAUGAUCAGCCACACUGGGACUGAGACACGGCCCAGACUCCUACGGUAGGCAGCAGUGGGGAAGAUUGCACAAUGGGCGCAAGCCUGAUGCAGCCAUGCCGCGUGUAUGAAGAAGGCCUUAGGGUUGUAAAGUACUUUCAGCGGGGAGGCGUUACCCGCAGAAGAAGCACCGGCUAACUCCGUGCCAGCAGCCGCGGUAAUUC